rnacentral:rRNA from 1 species
GCAAGUCGAACGAUGAACCACUUCGGUGGGGAUUAGUGGCGAACGGGUGAGUAACACGUGGGUAAUCUGCCCUGCACUCUGGGACAAGCCCUGGAAACGGGGUCUAAUACCGGAUACUGACCCGCUUGGGCAUCCAAGCGGUUCGAAAGCUCCGGCGGUGCAGGAUGAGCCCGCGGCCUAUCAGCUUGUUGGUGAGGUAAUGGCUCACCAAGGCGACGACGGGUAGCCGGCCUGAGAGGGCGACCGGCCACACUGGGACUGAGACACGGCCCAGACUCCUACGGGAGGCAGCAGUGGGGAAUAUUGCACAAUGGGCGAAAGCCUGAUGCAGCGACGCCGCGUGAGGGAUGACGGCCUUCGGGUUGUAAACCUCUUUCAGCAGGGAAGAAGCGAAAGUGACGGUACCUGCAGAAGAAGCGCCGGCUAACUACGUGCCAGCAGCCGCGGUAAUACGUAGGGCGCGAGCGUUGUCCGGAAUUAUUGGGCGUAAAGAGCUCGUAGGCGGCUUGUCACGUCGGUUGUGAAAGCCCGGGGCUUAACCCCGGGUCUGCAGUCGAUACGGGCAGGCUAGAGUUCGGUAGGGGAGAUCGGAAUUCCUGGUGUAGCGGUGAAAUGCGCAGAUAUCAGGAGGAACACCGGUGGCGAAGGCGGAUCUCUGGGCCGAUACUGACGCUGAGGAGCGAAAGCGUGGGGAGCGAACAGGAUUAGAUACCCUGGUAGUCCACGCCGUAAACGGUGGGCACUAGGUGUGGGCGACAUUCCACGUCGUCCGUGCCGCAGCUAACG